rnacentral:snRNA from 1 species
CUGCUUGCUUCGGCAGCACAUAUACUAAAAUUGGAACCAUACAGAGAAGUUAGCCUCGCCCCUGCACAAGGAUGACACACAAAUUUGUGAAGUGUUCCAUUUUUUU